rnacentral:rRNA from 1 species
GGAGGGGGCUAGCGUUGUUCGGAUUUACUGGGCGUAAAGCGCACGUAGGCGGAUCGAUCAGUCAGGGGUGAAAGGCCUGGGCUCAACCCGGGAACUGCCUUUGAUACUGUCGACUCUGAAUCCGGGAGAGGUAAGCGGAGUUCCAAGUGUAGAGGUGAAAUUCGUAGAUAUUUGACAGAACACCAGUGCGAAGGCGGCUUACUGGACCGGUAUUGACG